AUUGAACGCUGGCGGCAGGCCUAACACAUGCAAGUCGAGCGAGCGGCGGACGGGUGAGUAAUGUAUGGGGAUCUUCCCCAUAGAGGGGGAUAACCACUGGAAACGGUGGCUAAUUCCCCAUUCUAUAGGAUGAACCCAUAUGGGAUUAGCUAGUAGGUGGGGUAAAGGCUCACCUAGGCGGCGAUCUCUAGCUGGUCUGAGAGGAUGACCAGCCACACUGGGACUGAGACACGGCCCAGACUCCUACGGGAGGCAGCAGUGGGGAAUAUUGCGCAAUGGGGGCAACCCUGACGCAGCCAUGCCGCGUGAAUGAAGAAGGCCUUCGGGUUGUAAAGUUCUUUCGGUAGCGAGGCGUUAACUACAGAAGAAGCACCGGCUAACUCCGUGCCAGCCGCCGCGGUAAUAC
rnacentral:rRNA from 1 species